rnacentral:rRNA from 1 species
CUGCAAGCCGCGGUAAUUCCAGCUCCAAUAGCGUAUAUUAAAGUUGCUGCAGUUAAAAAGCUCGUAGUUGGAUCUCGGUAUCACUGUUGCUUGUCGAUCCUUGAGUGGCAUGCUCUUGGUGCAUGGGCUCCGCCUGUGUUGCCGGGGUGGCUGCUUGAGUCGGCGAUGUGGCGGUGUCACCUUUCAGCCAUGUCUGUGGUGAAAUACCCGCAGGUGUAGGCGAGUGUCGGGCGGUGCCUUGCAUAUGUGAGACUCGUCGGCUCGUCUGCAUGCCUUUGGAUGCCCUUCAAAAGGUGUCUGUGGGCGGAUGGCACGUUUACUUUGAACAAAUUUGAGUGCUCAAACCAGGCCGAUGUUGCCUGAAAAGUUUUGCAUGGAAUAAUGGAAUAGGACUUCGGUUCUAUUUCGUUGGUUUUCGGAUCCGAAGUAAUGAUCAAAAGAGACAGGCGGGGACGUUUGUAUGGCUGCGCUAGAGGUGAAAUUCAUGGACCGUAGCCAGACAAACUAAAGCGAAAGCAUUCGUCAAGCAUGUUUUCAUUGGCCAUGAGCGAAAGUCAGAGGCUCGAAGACGAUCAGAUCCGUCCUAGUUCUGACCAUAAACGAUGCCAACUGACGAUCCGUGGUGGUAAGUCUAUCAACCUUCCCCACGGCAGUCCCCGGGAAACCUUUAAGUCUUUGGGUUCCCGGGGAAGUAUGGUUGCAAAGCUUAAACUUAAAGGAAUUGACGGAAGGGCACCACCAGAAGUGAAGCCUGCGGCUUAAUUUGACUCAACACGGGAAAACUCACCCGGCCCGGACACUAUGAGGAUUGACAGAUUGAUAGCUCUUUCUUGAUUUGGUGGUUGGUGGUGCAUGGCCGUUCUUAGUUGGUGGAGCGAUUUGUCUGGUUAAUUCCGAUAACGAACGAGACUCCAGCCUGCUAAUUAGUGCGCUCGUCCACUGUGCCUUUGAUAGCGGCGUUCGGCAAGGCUGCUCCUGUAAGCUGCUGGCUGGCGGUGAGCCCUCGGGUGAGCUGUUGGUUAGUGGUGGGUUGUGGCUGGUUCAGCGUUAGCUUCGGGGUGCGGCGCGAGUGUCUACUUCUUAGAGGGACAAGCGGGAGAAGCCGCACGAAAUUGAGCAAUAACAGGUCUGUGAUGCCCUUAGAUGUCCGGGGCCGCACGCGCGCUACAAUGACGGUGGCAAUGAGUCUGACCUUCUGGCCCGAAAGGGUUGGGCAAACUGGUCAAUCACCGUCAUGACAGGGAUCGGGGCUUGGAAUUGUUCCCCGUGAACGAGGAAUUCCUAGUAAGUGCAAGUCAUAAGCUUGCGCUGAUUACGUCCCUGCCCUUUGUACACACCGCCCGUCGCUACUACCGAUUGAAUGGUUUAGUAAGGUCCUUGGAUUGGCGCCAUUGUGGUGGUUGCCGAAAGGUGGCUGCCCGACAGGUGCUGAGAAGACGACCAAACUUGAUCAUUUAGAGGAAGUAAAAGUCGUAACAAGGGGGUUUCG